AGCAGCAGCCGCGGGAAAACGUAGGUGGCAAGCGUUGUCCGGAAUUAUUGGGCGUAAAGGGCUCGCAGGCGGUUUCUUAAGUCUGAUGUGAAAGCCCCCGGCUCAACCGGGGAGGGUCAUUGGAAACUGGGAAACUUGAGUGCAGAAGAGGAGAGUGGAAUUCCACGUGUAGCGGUGAAAUGCGUAGAGAUGUGGAGGAACACCAGUGGCGAAGGCGACUCUCUGGUCUGUAACUGACGCUGAGGAGCGAAAGCGUGGGGAGCGAACAGGAUUAGAUACCCGAGUAGUCCCUGUCUCUUAUAC
rnacentral:rRNA from 1 species